GUUUGUGUUUUGAAGCGAAGAGAGGACGGAGGCCGAAAGGUUCACUAAAAGCCGAGAAAGUGCCAUGACAGCGCCUUUGAACUACUAAAAUUUGGAGGAUCUUUUGUGUGAAGGCACGUUCACAUCACCAUCCAAAGGCAGUUUCAUUGCGAUUUUUGUUCUUGAUCGCGUUCAUUGCAAUCGAUUAUCCUUGACGAAUGUGUUUGUUUUUCGAUGAUUUGUGAACUAUGCGCCUUGUGAAGAAUUUCCGAUAGGUCGUCAGUAACAUCGAUAUCCUCAUCCUAUUGAGCUAUCUGCCGUCUACUGCUGCGCGUAGCGACUUUCAUAUCAUAGCCGAAACCGAACGAAAACGAUCACGAGGCCGCACCACCGCUCGCCCGUCUAUAAUCCGUACCGUGUCCGUCCUCGCCCGUGUCCGGCGCCUCCUGCGGUCGGGCAGCGGUGCCCCCAACCUCCCGCGAUGACGCUCUAUGACGGCGGUGGCGCUUACUCUGUGAGCGGCGGCGGCGGCGGCUGCUGCUCCAGUCUGGGACGCGUGACACUCAUGUUCAUCACCGUGCUGAGUACCACGUUCACGAUCGGGACGCUCAUCAUCGCCGGAUCGGCUCUCUACAACGUCUACAACCGUCCAGAGGAGUACUCUGUGGAUCACCGCGGCCUCGUUCAGCUGUGGCUGCUGGUCGCCGCCAGCGGACUCGCCGUCGCAACAAACGCCUGCGGGUUCGUCGGCGCCCUCCUCCGUAUCAGGUGCCUGCUGCUCGGGUACGCGCUGGUGACCGGUGUGGUGGUGGGUGGACACCUCCUAGUCACCCAUCUGCAGCGACGCGCCGCCAGCCGCCACCCGGACCUAGACCAGCUGCAGAUGGACGACGACCCGCAGAGCGUGUGGACCGUCGAGAUGAACGCCUACGCCGCUCAUGUGCUGAAGCGUGUCCGAAGUGAGACGAGUGACAACUCGACCCGCUCCGUGGAGCGUAUCAACAAGACGGUGAGCGAGCUGCGCGCUCAGCUGGCCCCGAACGCCACCACUGUGGCCGAGUCGGCACUGCGCACAGUCAACACCAUACAGUCCCUGUUCAAGUGCUGCGGUAAAACUGGCGUGGACGAGUUCAUCUCCCAGAACAUCACCAUACCGACCUCGUGCUGCGUGGACGCGGCGCACUGUAACGCCACGCUGCGGCGCCGGCCGCGACUGGACCUGGAGCGGGCCCGCGAGAUGUCUCACCCACAGCCGUGCGAUAAAGCAUGGCUGAGGUUGAGCCACUGCCGUCGGGUCCCCAGGAGGGGGUGGAAUAUCCUCUGACCCUUUACUACUGUGGCAACUGCACCAUGCCUUUGGAGUACUGUGAGUUCUACCCCCAGUAUGAAAAGUGCAAAGAAUGGCUGGAGCAGAAUCUCCCUGAUGAAUUUGAAAAGAUGAUGAAGCUGAACGACGGUAAGGAUGACGGCGACGACGAGAAGAAGCGACAGAAGCGCGGCGGCAAGGGCAUGAUGCGGGCGAAGAAGAAGGAGGAGGUGGAAAAGAAGAUCUGUCUGUCGCGCGCGCCCCGCGGCAAGAGGAAGUCGGUCACCGUCAUCACCGGACUCAGCACGUUCGGUAUAGACCUGAAGGUGGCGUCCAAGUUUUUCGCUAACAAGUUCUCGUGCGGCUCCUCGGUGACGGGUAACGGAGACGAGAUCGUGGUGCAGGGCGAUGUCAAGGACGACCUGUUCGACAUCCUGCCGGAAAAGUGGUCCGAGAUUGAUGAAGAUCUCAUCGACGAUCUGGGCGACCAGAAACGCUAAAAUUAACCACGCGACUGUGAUCUACGCGCAAUGUCUGCUUUAUCUGUUUGCUACGUGAAAAAAAACAGAACUGUUGUUAAUAAAAUGUCAAUGAGAAA